CAGCUAAAGAGAAAGUCUGUAAAUGAACGUUUAAUGCACACUUCUGGAACUUUCUAUGGAGAAAUUCUACAUUAUGAUCACAAAAAUACGAAAACUUGUGAAAACUGUUUCAUAACCUAAUUUCGAAAGACGAUUUGUAUCAAGAAAUAUUGCUAAAAAGAUUUAUUUACGUUUUGAAACACGAUUUAAAUCAUUUUACAUAUAAAUAGUUGUUCUAAAUCACUCAAGAAAUAUCCAGAAUCAAAUGUCAAGAUAUUUCUGGAAACAUCGGUACAAAUCUGGUGAAGGUUAUCCAGAAGCUGGUAGAAAAAUGUUAUAAAAUCUAUUUGGAAAUUAUGCUUGUAAGAAUUUAUAUGUACUGAUCCUUUUACUUACUUUAAUCUGUGCUAAAAUUCUGUAAUGUCUAAUUUAGUUUUAAGUCGUGAAUUGCUAUCGUAUUGUAAACAAAACAUUGUCAAAGACUCUCAUUGUUUGGAAAGAUAUUAAUACACCUAGGAGUUGUCAGUUGCCAGUUCGGAUAUGCAGUGCGGUUAGCUCUGAGAGUCAGUUGGUGAGUCUGUGAAGUCUGUCAGUUCUGUUUGUAAAUAAACGUCUGUAAUGAAGAAUUACUUGUUGUCGUCAAUAUGCACUCGAGACCUUUUUGCACGAAGCAGACACCUCCUAAUGCAACGUUUUAAUUUGGUGUUUAGGAGCUGAAAUGUUAUAGUGUGCCCCAGUUGUUGACAGUAGAUGCAAUCCUCUUUCUUUUGCAUAGAGAUGACCUGAAUGGAACUGUCCAUUAAAAUUAUCCGCGCUGUUUUGCCGUGGUCGGUUGAUGAAUUUUGUCUCAAUUCCCAACGUUUCGUCUCCAACUGUGGGAGACAUCUUCAAGGGGGACGGUAGGUCGAUAGAAGGUGCAGCACACCCACUGGCUCGCUACUGACUGCCACUAAAUUUCGUCUCCGCGAGCUCGUGCGCCGCGGUGUGACGUCACGUGUUUUGAAAACGUCAGUGCAAUUGGCUGCUGUCCGCCGCCGGCGAUCGCCGUUGCCAUCACCCAGUAGUGGACGGGUGGCACACAUCUUCUUUAACACCGGCAUCCAUAUACCGUUUAAUUUCAUGUCGUCCUCCUUUCGGGUGAAAUUAUUUGGGUGUUUAGCGAUUUUGAUUGCCUCCCUGUAGAGCCUUUCGUAGUACCCGCUUGUGGCCGCUAGUACUUGCGUCUCCUCGAAACUAAUGUUGUGGUUCCCUGGCUGGAAAGCAUGCUCCGUAACAGCUGAUCAUUCCGUUUCUCCUCUUCUACAAUUUCCCUUGUGCUCUUCCAAACGUUUAGAAACCGUUCUUUUAGUUGUACCCACAUAAACAUCACCACACCUGCAUGGGAUCCUAUACACUCCAGCUUUUCCCAAUGGUUUGCGAGUGUCCUUGGCAGGCUUAAGGUAUUCCUGUAUCUUCCUGGUGAGCUUGCAAGUGGUCUUGUAAAUUACUGUAAUAGUCCGCUUUGUCAAGAUCCUCCCUAUUCUUUCCGUUAGAUUUUGCAGCAGCCACGCAUAACAGCCCGGAUAAUUAUAAUGGACAUGAUAUUUCCGGCCAUGAAAGUCUACAUUUUAGUAUCUGAAUGAAAUUGUUCAUGAGAAACAGAAAACAUUAUUUGCUGAUGACACCAGUAUUUUGAUCACAGGGUUAAAUGAGAACGACCUUCAAAUGUCUAUGUACACAUCAUUGCUGGAGCUAACACACUUUUUUCAAAGAAAUAAACUUACCUAUAACUGGAAAGAUAGUAGCAAUGAACUUUCAUGCAGCCACCCUAAGGAACAACAUGAUCACUUAUUGAAAAUAAAUAACAAAAGUUUAAAAUUGGUUGAUGAUAUGAAUCCCUAUGUAUUUCUUUAUUGAGUUGUCUUAUAUCUGUACAAGAAGUCACAGGACCAAAAUUAAUUUAAUAAAUAAAUAAAUCAAUCAAAAGCAAAAUUGAGGGAGUGCCAGCUGUUUCAAAUCAUUGCAUUCACCUCCAAGCAGAAAUUUAGAUACCCAUAAGAUUCCUAGAAUUUCACUAAAAAUUGACUCUUUUCAGAAUAUUCACAUUACUUCUGAAUGACUGUGAUCAGUUAACUUAAGCCAAUCAUAACCCAGAACACAAAGAAAAGUCUUCAAUAAUAUGUAAAACCUAAAUUUGUGAAAGUAUGCAGCCAGUACUUCACUAAAAUAUUGCUCUUUCAGUCAAUGGUCCGAUCACAGUGUCAUGAAUUACACGCAUAAAUAGUAGCAAAUGUUACUUAGCUCAAAAACAUUUUCACUGUACCUAAAUUCACAUACCUAUAUACAGUUAGCAUUACACUACUCAUUUAUGUCUGUUAUUUCCAUCAUUUGCUUUCAAUUAUUAUCUAGGUAAGUGCAGUGUCAAAAACUAACCCUACUGCAAAGACAGGCCCCCUAACCAUUAAAACCCCAGCACAUUUCUCAUUACCUCUCACCACUUCAUUGGUGCAUGUAAAGGGGUAUCCUACUCUAGCAGUACUUUUCCUCAACAGUAGUUGUCAGUACCAGUCUUACUUUUCGAAUUUUGGACAGAUCAGUAACAGCUGCUUUUUGGAAAACUUUUAUAUAAUUUUUUUCUCAGUAUGUUAUAUUUCAAGCUAAAAUUGAUGAAAAAGGAUUAUUUUAUUCAGGAUGUUAUAAUCAGUAAGUACUAAUUCUGAAUGUAUAGUUAAUUUUUUUAGAAACAUUUGAAAUUAUGAAUUAUUUGGCACACUUAAAAUUUCUUUUAUUAAUUAUGCAAUCUAAUACUGUUUAGUAUGUUUACUUCCUGAUUCCUUUAUGAAAUAACAAUCGAAACUGAUAGAAAUUCAUUUGUAAAGAAAAAUUGUAAGCCCUUUGCAAUAUUGUUAAUUUCAAAGAAUGGGACAGUAGUAAGCUUUCCUCUGAUGUGGUCCAAUGUAUUUUUGUAUUUUGUGUGUACAAUGCAAUUUCAGCUUUGUUAAUGUGAAAAAUCAAAAGACUGUAUGACAUACUAAAAUGUGACAAAAUAUAUUAACAUAACAAAAA